UGAGUGAAUUGACCAUGCUACGCAAGACUGCUUUGUUCCAUUCGUCUACAUUUCAGCACUAUAUACUGAGGAAGUUUGCUUAACAAGGAAUCAAGCGGGAACCGGAGUGUGGGAAUUAACAUUACUUAUGUGUAUGGUUUAUCAUUAUCAAACUAGUCAGCAAUAUUUAAUUCAUUAUGAAAUAAACUCCAAUUAAUACU
rnacentral:misc_RNA from 1 species